CUCAAAACCUGAACCUCAACAGGCCACCACAGUUGAUCAAACCUCAAAAUCUGAAACUCAGCAGGCCAUCACAGUUAAUGAACCCUCCAAACCUGAACCUCAAGUGGCCACCACAGUUAACGAACCCUCCAAAUCUGAACCUCAAGUGGCCACCACAGUUAACGAACCCUCCAAAUCUGAACCUCAAGUGGCCACCACAGUUAACGAACCCUCCAAACCUGAACCUCAACAAGCAACCAAGGAUGGUCAAUCUCCCAGUCCUGCAACAACUACAGCC
rnacentral:lncRNA from 1 species